CAGGAAUUCAAAAAAGAUAUAGCUGAGCACCAAGCAUUGACUGAAAGUGUGUUGCACGAUGGUGAAAAUCUUCUUAGAUGCAUGUCACCAAAUUCACCAGUUUUACAGAAAACUCUUGGCUUGAUUGCAAAACAUUCGGAUAUGCUUAAAAGCCAUGCUGAACGAUUGUAUGAAUCUAUUUUAGCAGCCAUACAUACUCUUGAUGACGGCUUGAGGAAGCAUCGCGAUGUUCACGAAACUGCAGUCCACAAAGAUACACCUGAAUAAAACUUCUAUUGAUGUGGAAGAAUGAAUCCAUAAACAGUAUGGAGGAAGUUCCCUAAUCAAGAAACAAUAACUUUUCCUUCAAAGUUUUGAUGUGCUGCAGUGAUAUCAAGCUUGGUUUUCAAGUUCAGAAGGUACAACAAUGGGCUUUGUAUCUGGCAACAAAGUGUUAAAGAACAGUGUGGAAGGGCAACUUCUAAUGUUGGAGUGACAGGAGGUUUAAUGAUGCAUUUCUAAUUUAGAUAUCUAUUUGCCAGGGCUCUGCGUGCUUCAGAAAUUAUUCAAAAGUGUUUGUGAGACACAAAUUCCACUUGAGCCUCAAAAAAAGUUGCA
rnacentral:lncRNA from 1 species